AUGUUCAAUGUCCAGAAUAAUGCAAACAUUCAUAAAUUUUCUAUUUUGUCAAAAUAGAUGUAUCAUCAUAUGUUAACAGGUGAAACGCUUUUGUUCAACAAUUGUUUCAUGCCUUAUCUUUCAUUUCUCUUUUCAUAAUCACAUGAUUUUUAAUAUUUUCUUUCUGGCUCUGGACUAUCCAAGUCUAUACCUCAGUCAUCAUCCGGAUCAAAUCCACUUAAAAAGUCUUUCAAGACUGUCCCAGGAUGAGCUCCUGGCC
rnacentral:lncRNA from 1 species